rnacentral:rRNA from 1 species
UACGUAGGGAGCUAGCGUUGUCCGGAAUCAUUGGGCGUAAAGCGCGCGUAGGCGGCCCGGUAAGUCCGCUGUGAAAGUCAAAGGCUCAACCUUUGAAUGUCAGCGGAUACUGCCGGGCUAGAGUCCGGAAGAGGCGAGUGGAACUCCUGGUGUAGCGGUGGAAUGCGCAGAUAUCAGGAAGAACACCAACGGCGAAGGCAGCUCGCUGGGACGGUACUGACGCUGAGGCGCGAAAGCGUGGGGAGCGAACAGG